rnacentral:rRNA from 2 species
GAUUCCCUGAGUAGCGGCGAGCGAACGGGGAACAGCCCAGAGCCUGAAUCAGCAUGUGUGUCAGUGGAAGCGUCUGGAAUGGCGCACGGUACAGGGUGACAGUCCCGUACACGAAGAUGCAUGUGUUGUGAGCUCGAUGAGUAGGGCGGGACACGUGGUAUCCUGUCUGAAUAUGGGGGGACCAUCCUCCAAGGCUAAAUACUCCUGACUGACCGAUAGUGAACCAGUACCGUGAGGGAAAGGCGAAAAGAACCCCGGCGAGGGGAGUGAAACAGAACCUGAAACCGUGUACGUACAAGCAGUGGGAGCCUUCUUUAUGGGGGUGACUGCGUACCUUUUGUAUAAUGGGUCAGCGACUUAUAUUCUGUAGCAAGGUUAACCGUAUAGGGGAGCCGUAGGGAAACCGAGUCUUAACCGGGCGCUAAGUUGCAGGGUAUAGACCCGAAACCCGGUGAUCUAGCCAUGGGCAGGUUGAAGGUUGGGUAACACUAACUGGAGGACCGAACCGACUAAUGUUGAAAAAUUAGCGGAUGACCUGUGGCUGGGGGGUGAAAGGCCAAUCAAACCGGGAGAUAGCUGGUUCUCCCCGAAAGCUAUUUAGGUAGCGCCUCGUGAAUUCAUCUCCGGGGGUAGAGCACUGUUUCGGCUAGGGGGCCAUCCCGGCUUACCAACCCGAUGCAAACUGCGAAUACCGGAGAAUGUUAUCACGGGAGACACACGGCGGGUGCUAACGUCCGUCGUGAAGAGGGAAACAACCCAGACCGCCAGCUAAGGUCCCAAAGUCAUGGUUAAGUGGGAAACGAUGUGGGAAGGCCCAGACAGCCAGGAUGUUGGCUUAGAAGCAGCCAUCAUUUAAAGAAAGCGUAAUAGCUCACUGGUCGAGUCGGCCUGCGCGGAAGAUGUAACGGGGCUAAACCAUGCACCGAAGCUGCGGCAGCGACACUAUGUGUUGUUGGGUAGGGGAGCGUUCUGUAAGCCUGCGAAGGUGUGCUGUGAGGCAUGCUGGAGGUAUCAGAAGUGCGAAUGCUGACAUAAGUAACGAUAAAGCGGGUGAAAAGCCCGCUCGCCGGAAGACCAAGGGUUCCUGUCCAACGUUAAUCGGGGCAGGGUGAGUCGACCCCUAAGGCGAGGCCGAAAGGCGUAGUCGAUGGGAAACGGGUUAAUAUUCCCGUACUCGGUGUUACUGCGAAGGGGGGACGGAGAAGGCUAUGUUGGCCGGGCGACGGUUGUCCCGGUUUAAGCGUGUAGGCUGACUUUCCAGGCAAAUCCGGAAAGUUAAGGCUGAGGCGUGACGACGAGGCACUACGGUGCUGAAGCAACAAAUGCCCUGCUUCCAGGAAAAGCCUCUAAGCAUCAGGUAACAACGAAUCGUACCCCAAACCGACACAGGUGGUCAGGUAGAGAAUACCAAGGCGCUUGAGAGAACUCGGGUGAAGGAACUAGGCAAAAUGGUGCCGUAACUUCGGGAGAAGGCACGCUGGCACGUAGGUGGAGGGACUUGCUCCCCGAGCCGAAGCCAGUCGAAGAUACCAGCUGGCUGCAACUGUUUAUUAAAAACACAGCACUGUGCAAACACGAAAGUGGACGUAUACGGUGUGACGCCUGCCCGGUGCCGGAAGGUUAAUUGAUGGGGUUAUCCGUAAGGAGAAGCUCUUGAUCGAAGCCCCGGUAAACGGCGGCCGUAACUAUAACGGUCCUAAGGUAGCGAAAUUCCUUGUCGGGUAAGUUCCGACCUGCACGAAUGGCGUAAUGAUGGCCAGGCUGUCUCCACCCGAGACUCAGUGAAAUUGAACUCGCUGUGAAGAUGCAGUGUACCCGCGGCAAGACGGAAAGACCCCGUGAACCUUUACUACAGCUUGACACUGAACAUUGAGCCUUGAUGUGCAGGAUAGGUGGGAGGCUUUGAAGCGUGGACGCCAGUCUGCGUGGAGCCAUCCUUGAAAUACCACCCUUUAAUGUUUGAUGUUCUAACCUGGCGCCGUGAUCCGGCGUGGGGACAGUGUCUGGUGGGUAGUUUGACUGGGGCGGUCUCCUCCCAAAGUGUAACGGAGGAGUACGAAGGUCAGCUAAUCACGGUCGGACAUCGUGAGGUUAGUGCAAUGGCAUAAGCUGGCUUGACUGCGAGAGUGACGGUUCGAGCAGGUGCGAAAGCAGGUCAUAGUGAUCCGGUGGUUCUGAAUGGAAGGGCCAUCGCUCAACGGAUAAAAGGUACUCCGGGGAUAACAGGCUGAUACCGCCCAAGAGUUCAUAUCGACGGCGGUGUUUGGCACCUCGAUGUCGGCUCAUCACAUCCUGGGGCUGAAGUAGGUCCCAAGGGUAUGGCUGUUCGCCAUUUAAAGUGGUACGCGAGCUGGGUUUAGAACGUCGUGAGACAGUUCGGUCCCUAUCUGCCGUGGGCGCUGGAAGACUGAGAGGGGUUGCUCCUAGUACGAGAGGACCGGAGUGAACGCACC